GCUUGGUCAUUUAGCCGGUAACGCUGGGCAAGCGGCCGGUGCCUUGUACUGUCGCCUUCUGUUCAUGCCGCUUUCGGAAACUUCAAGCCUUCGACGGCAGGCUCAUCGACUGUUCAGUCUCCCAUGACACCGAGGCAAACCUGAGCUUAAGGUUAAUCUAAGGUUAAUGUGCCAUCUUCCCACCGAGAACGCCAUCGCGCCGACCCCUUAGGCCGCGCUGAAUUAGGGUG
rnacentral:misc_RNA from 1 species